rnacentral:lncRNA from 1 species
GGGAGGGGAAACUAAGCCUCCUUGGUGGAUUUGCAUGCCAUGUGUGAUGAGCUUAUUUGUUUGAAUCUCAAGUAUACUUGCACCAUCUAGAACUUGCCCCAUUAGUCUCUAAAAGCUAAUUUUGAUUGUAUUUGGUAGGAGAAAUGAUCUUAGGCCAUCUUUGUGACUUUUGGAAUCCUACCUUAGCCUAAAAAUCCUACCCAUGCAUAAAUGUUAUCUCCAGUCACCACUUUGAGCCUUUAGCCCUUUCUUUAGCGAAUACAUUACAAGUCAUAAGCCUUUCAACUUUCAUUCCUUUUUU